UCUGUGUUCCUCUUUCAUCAGGGUAAGCAACGCUCCAAAAUGAUCCUUCUCACCUGGCAAAGAAGUGGUCAGUUCCCAUACAAGCCUGGGCAGAGACAUGACAGCCCACCUACAGAUACACGUGUCUUAUUCAGAGGGUGGCUGUAAAUCAGGAUCCCCUGGUAUUUGGCUUCCGCAAAAGGCUGGUCCAUGUUCUGCUUCCUGGAACCUGUGAAGGUGACCUUAUUUGGAAAAAAAGCUCUUCGAAGACGUAAAAGUUGAAGUCUUGAGCGAUCGUGUUGGAUUAUCCAAGGGGGGGCCUAAACGACCUAUGACCAGUGUCCUUGUAAGAGACACACCACAGAGAAGUGACGUGAAGAUGGAGGCAGAGAUGGGAGGGACCAGCCGAGGUGCCAAGGAAUGUGGACGGGCACCAGAACCUGGAGGAGACUCCCCUAGAGUCUGCAAGGACUGGAUUUCAGACUUCUGGCCUCCAGGAUUCUGGGGGAAUAAAAAUUCCUGUUGCUCUGAGCCGCCCAGUUUGUGAUAAUUUGUUACAGCAGCCCAAGGGAAGUAAUAGACCUCAAGAGACGGUAAAGAUUCCAUGGCAGCCUGCACCCCGGCGCAAAGAAGAAUCUCCACAGGGCUCAUGGCUUCCCUGGUGAAGCCAGGCAGAAGUUCAGGUUCAGAACAGAAUGAGGAGAGGUGCAGAGCAAAGCCUGCGGGUGGUCGGCGGUGGUGUCCUGAGUGAGCAGCUGGGCAGAGAUUUCUUGGGGAGCUUCCCGCAAGACAAAGACUCUUUUGCCCUGGUUUCUCUGCUGCUUCUGCAGUGGAGGGAACAGAAGACACUGCUGGCCCCGGCAUCGAUGAGACCCAGGAGAUAGGUCUGCCUGAUUCUACAAUUUAGUAGUCUAAGACAUGAACUAGAAGACCAUGAAAGCCCUAGGAGUCAUGGAGCCAAGAUAGAGAAGCACUGCAGGUCCCCAAAUGCCUUGGUGAUACAGAACCCACAGCUGGAUCACAUGGACCUGUGAUGUGUGUGAGAAAUAAACUUUCAUUAUACAAAUCCACUCACAUUUGGGGGGCAUUUGUCACAGGAGUCCACCUACCCUGGGACGUUUAACUCAUGUCUAGUCUGUGUUUUGCCACCUCCCAACAC